rnacentral:rRNA from 1 species
UACGGGGGGGGCAAGCGUUGUUCGGAAUUACUGGGCGUAAAGGGCUCGUAGGCGGCCAACUAAGUCAGACGUGAAAUCCCUCGGCUUAAUCGGGGAACUGCGUCUGAUACUGGAUGGCUCGAGUUUGGGAGAGGGAUGCGGAAUUCCAGGUGUAGCGGUGAAAUGCGUAGAUAUCUGGAGGAACACCGAUGGCGAAGGCAGGUCUCUGGGCCGAUACUGACGCUGAGGAGCGAAAGCGUGGGGAGCGAACAGG